GAGACAUGGGGACACUGUGAGACUAGGGGACACUGGGAGACAUGGGGACACUGGGAGACAUGGGGACACCAUGUCCCUAGUGUCUCAGUGUCUCCAUGUCUCCCAAUGUCUCCCAGUGUCCCCAGUUCUCUCAGUGUCCCCUAGUGUCUCAGUGUCCCCAAGUGUCU